GCUCUCUCGUUCGGAAGUGGGGCUUCGUGAAGAGACGCUUCUUUCCUCCGAGUGCUUGCUCUCCCUUGGAAAGAGGAGUGGCGGACGGGUGAGUAACACGUGGGUAACCUACCCAUCAGAGGGGGAUAACACUUGGAAACAGGUGCUAAUACCGCAUAACAGUUUAUGCCGCAUGGCAUAAGAGUGAAAGGCGCUUUCGGGUGUCGCUGAUGGAUGGACCCGCGGUGCAUUAGCUAGUUGGUGAGGUAACGGCUCACCAAGGCCACGAUGCAUAGCCGACCUGAGAGGGUGAUCGGCCACACUGGGACUGAGACACGGCCCAGACUCCUACGGGAGGCAGCAAAAGGGAAUCUUCGGCAAUGGACGAAAGUCUGACCGAGCAACGCCGCGUGAGUGAAGAAGGUUUUCGGAUCGUAAAACUCUGUUGUUAGAGAAGAACAAGGACGUUAGUAACUGAACGUCCCCUGACGGUAUCUAACCAGAAAGCCACGGCUAACUACGUGCCAGCAGCCGCGGUAAUACGUAGGUGGCAAGCGUUGUCCGGAUUUAUUGGGCGUAAAGCGAGCGCAGGCGGUUUCUUAAGUCUGAUGUGAAAGCCCCCGGCUCAACCGGGGAGGGUCAUUGGAAACUGGGAGACUUGAGUGCAGAAGAGGAGAGUGGAAUUCCAUGUGUAGCGGUGAAAUGCAUAGAUAUAUGGAGGAACACCAGUGGCGAAGGCGGCUCUCUGGUCUGUAACUGACGCUGAGGCUCGAAAGCGUGGGGAGCAAACAGGAUUAGAUACCCUGGUAGUCCACGCCGUAAACGAUGAGUGCUAAGUGUUGGAGGGUUUCCGCCCUUCAGUGCUGCAGCAAACGCAUUAAGCACUCCGCCUGGGGAGUACGACCGCAAGGUUGAAACUCAAAGGAAUUGACGGGGGCCCGCACAAGCGGUGGAGCAUGUGGUUUAAUUCGAAGCAACGCGAAGAACCUUACCAGGUCUUGACAUCCUUUGACCACUCUAGAGAUAGAGCUUUCCCUUCGGGGCAAAGUGACAGGUGGUGCAUGGUUGUCGUCAGCUCGUGUCGUGAGAUGUUGGGUUAAGUCCCGCACGAGCGCACCCUUAUUGUAGUUGCCAUCAUUUAGUUGGGCACUCUAGCGAGACUGCGUGACAAACGGAGGAAGGGUGGGAUGACGUCAAUCAUCAUGCCUAUGACCUGGCCUACAACGUGCCUACAUGGGGAGUACAAACGAGUUCGUGAUCGCAAGCUUAUGCAAUCCUUAAGCCUCCCUCAGAUUCGGAUGCCAGGCGUGCACUACUGGCUCGUCAUGAUGACAGACG
rnacentral:rRNA from 1 species